ACGGGCUGCGGCGGGCAAGCACCGCGGGUCGGAGUGCCUCCAGAAAGAACCUGGACCCACGCUGCAGCAGGGAGUGGAGAAAUGAUGCAACGCCCAGGCCGCGCUGCGUGAACGGGAAGGGACUGCUAUGCACCAACCAAUCACCGGGCGCCGCAUAACACCCUGUAACAAACCGUCUUUUCAUUGGUCAUUUGGUGGCCGGGGUACGCCCACCUGUCCAAAUGGUGGAACUGCGGUACGAAUGUCAAGGAAUGCUGCUCAGCGUUAAAAAGGAACGCGCUACUGAUACACACCACAACAAGGAAGACUCUCACAACCCUGAGAGGCUGGAUCUCUUGCUUUGGGGGAAGCCAGCUGUCAUGUUGUGAGGCUCGUGAGGAACUAAGGCCUUCUGCCGACAGCCACGUUCAAUGAGCCUUCUUGGAAGGGGAUUUUCCACCCCAGUCAACCUUCACAUACUGCAGUACUGGUGACAACCUGACCGAAGCUCUUGGGAGAGUCUGAGCCAGAACUACCCAAUGAAGCUGCACCCAAAUUUCUGACUGACAGAAGUUUUAAGUUGGAGAUGCCAACAUAGUAUCAUGUGUCUACUUAAUCCAAGAAGCUCAUUCUUCAGCAGUAUCAUUUUCUAUCCCACAGUCCAGUCCAAUCGCUGUCCGAAGAGUUGGCUUUG